AAGAAGGAUUUCAAAAAGAGGUACUUCAACAACCGGCUGAACAAUCUGAAACAGUCUCAUUACCCAUUUUUAUGUUAAUACAAUUCACGAAAUAUUCUGAGGUGCUGAAAUGAGAAAUACAGGCUAAUCCUGGAGGUACUCCAAGCCCAACUGUCAAUCACAAAUAAAAUAAU